rnacentral:rRNA from 1 species
GGGGAAUAUUGGACAUUGGGCGAAAGCCUGAUCCGCCCAUGCCGCGUGUUUAAAGAGGUCCUUCGGAUGUUAAAGCCUUUUAAUUUGGGGGGAAGGUUUUUAGAUUAUUACUUUGCAUUUUUACCUUUCCCGACAGAAUAAUCCCCGGCUACCUUCGUGCCACAGCCGCGGUAAUACGAAGGGUGCAACGUUAAUCGGAAUUACUGGGCGUAAAGCGCGCGUAGGUGGUUCGUUAAGUUGGAUGUGAAAGCCCCGGGCUCAACCUGGGAACUGCAUCCAAAACUGGCGAGCUAGAGUACGGUAGAGGGUGGUGGAAUUUCCUGUGUAGCGGUGAAAUGCGUAGAUAUAGGAAGGAACACCAGUGGCGAAGGCGACCACCUGGACUGAUACUGACACUGAGGUGCGAAAGCGUGGGGAGCAAACA